rnacentral:misc_RNA from 1 species
GAUGAAGAACGUAGCGAAAUGCGAUAAGUAGUGUGAAUUGCAGAAUUCAGUGAAUCAUCGAAUCUUUGAACGCACAUUGCGCCCCUUGGUAUUCCAUGGGGCAUGCCUGUUCGAGCGUCAUUUGUACCCUCAAGCUAAGCUUGGUGUUGGGUGUUUGUCCACUCCCUCGUGUUUGGACUCGCCUUAAAACAAUUGGCAGCCAGUGUUUUGGUAUUGAAGCGCAGCACAAUUUGCGAUUCUAGCCUAGAAUACUAGCAUCCAUCAAGUCAUUUUUAACGCUUGACCUCGGAUCAGGUAGGGAUACCCGCUGAACUUAAGCAUAUAAUAAGCGGAGGA